rnacentral:rRNA from 1 species
AUGGGGCGCAGCNNGCGAGAAAACUUUGCAAUGUGCGAAAGCACGACAAGGUUAAUCCGAGUGGUUCCUGCUAAAGGAAUCUUUUGUUANUCAUAAUACCACUGAUGAAUAAGGGGUGGGCAAGUUCUGGUGUCAGCCGCCGCGGUAAAACCAGCACCUCAAGUGGUCAGGAGGUUUAUUGGGCCUAAAGCAUCCGUAGCCUGAUCUAUAAGUUUCCGGUUAAAUCCACAUGCUCAACAUUUGGGCUGCCGGAAAAACUGUAGAUCUAGGGAGUGGGAGAGGUAGACGGUACUCGGUAGGAAGGGGUAAAAUCCUUUGAUCUAUUGAUGACCACCAGUGGCGAAGGCGGUCUACCAGAACACGUUCGACGGUGAGGGAUGAAAGCUGGGGGAGCAAACCGGAUUAGAUACCCGGGUAGUCCCAGCUGUAAACGAUGCAGACUCGGUGAUGCAUUGGCUUGUGGCCAGUGCAGUGCCGCAGGGAAGCCGUUAAGUUUGCCGCCUGGGAAGUACGUACGCAAGUAUGAAACUUAAAGGAAUUGGCGGGGGAGCAC